UACGCAGGGUGCAAGCGUUGUUCGGAAUUACUGGGCGUAAAGCGCGCGCAGGCGGCCUUUUAAGUCUGACGGUGAAAUGCCGGGGCUCAACCCCGUGCCCGCCGGAGAUACUGGGAGGCUGGAGACGAGUAGAGGCAAGCGGAAUUCCGGGUGUAGCGGUGGAAUGCGUAGAGAUCCGGAAGAACACCGGUGGCGAAGGCGGUCUGCUGGGCAGUAGCUGACACUGAGGCGCGACAGCGUGGGGAGCAAACAGG
rnacentral:rRNA from 1 species